rnacentral:rRNA from 1 species
CCCAACACAGGGACUGCAUAAUAGAAARGAUUAAAACCUGUAAAAGGAACUAGGCAAAACAAAGAGCCCGACUGUUUACCAAAAACAUAGCCCCUAGCAUGAACAAGUAUUAGGGGUGAUGCCUGCCCAGUGACAUUGUUCAACGGCCGCGGUAUUCUGACCGUGCGAAGGUAGCGUAAUCACUUGUCUUUUAAAUAAAGACUGGAAUGAAUGGCUAAACGAGGCUCUAUCUGUCUCUUACAGACAAUCAGUGAAAUUGAUCUCCUCGUGCAAAAGCGAGAAUAGUGAUAUAAGACGAGAAGACCCUGUGGAACUUUAAAUAACAGCUAACGGCCAAUAAACCUACUAAACCAACAGGACCACUAACCAUAACUAUCCCUAGCUUUAUUUUCGGUUGGGGUGACCUCGGAGAAAAACAAAACCUCCGAAAACCUACACUAAGAACAACAAAUCAAAGUGCCUCCGGCUAAACGAUCCAAUAUAUUUGAUUAAUGAACCAAGCUACCCCAGGGAUAACAGCGCAAUCCCCUCUUAGAGUCCCUAUCAACGACGGGGGUUUACGACCUCGAUGUUGGAUCAGGACAUCCUAAUGGUGCAGCCGCUAUUAAGGGUUCGUUUGUUCAACGAUUAAUAGUCCUACGUGAUCUGAGUUCAGACCGGAGUAAUCCAGGUCGGUU